rnacentral:lncRNA from 1 species
AAAAAAACCCUUAUAAUAACAAAAUUAUCUAAAACCCAAAUGUGAAAGGCAAGAAUAAGAACGUAAUCUUUAAAAAAGAUUUGCGCCUAAGAUCUUCCAUAUCUAUGUGCAGGCCAUUGGCUCCCUCAUUAAUUUAGUUAAAAGAAAAUUAAUUUUUAGAUGAUAUUUUAACUUAGAACCUAUUAAAUCCUUACACCAUCCUAAC